rnacentral:rRNA from 1 species
GAUGAACGCUGGCGGCGUGCCUAAUACAUGCAAGUCGAGCGAACGGACGAUAAGCUUGCUUUUCUGAUGUUAGCGGCGGACGGGUGAGUAACGCGUGGAUAACCUACCUAUAAGACUGGUGUAACUUCGGGAAACCGGAGCUAAUACCGGAUAAUAUUUUGAACCAUAUGGUUCAAUAGUGAAAGACGGUCUUGCUGUCACUUAUAGAUGUAUCCGCGCUGCAUUAGCUAGUUGGUAAGGUAACGGCUUACCAAGGCAACGAUGCGUAGCCGACUUGAGAGGGUGAUCGGCCACAUUGGGACUGAGACACGGUCCAGACUCCUACGGGAGGCAGCAGUAGGGAAUCUUCCGCAAUGGGCGAAAGCCUGACGGAGCAACGCCGCGUGAGUGAUGAAGGUCUUCGGAUCGUAAAACCCUGUUAUUAGGGAAGAACAUAUGUGUAAGUAACUGUGCACAUCUUGACGGUACCUAAUCAGAAAGCCACGGCUAACUACGUG